rnacentral:tRNA from 1 species
GACUGGGUAGCUCAGUUGGUAGAGUACUUGUCCGCGAAAGGCAAAGGUCCCGAGUUCGAGUCUCGGCCCGGCACA